UGUGGUUUAUUACAAUUAUGUUUCGCUCGCUACUCUGGUUUAAAUAAAAACCAGAGUAGCGAGCGAAACAUGAUUGAUAUACAUG